AGAGUACUCCCUUCGUCCCAAAAUUCUUGUCUUAGACUUGUCUAGAUAUGGACGUAUCUAACACUAAAACGUAAUUAGAUACAUCCGUAUUUAGACAAAUCUAAGACAAGAAUUUUGGGACGGAGGGAGUAUUAC
rfam:Triticum aestivum genome assembly, contig: Triticum_aestivum_CS42_TGACv1_scaffold_226287_3B